rnacentral:rRNA from 1 species
AUUGAACGCUGGCGGCAGGCCUAACACAUGCAAGUCGAACGAGUGGCGGACGGGUGAGUAAUGUCUGGGAAACUGCCUGAUGGAGGGGUAUAACUACUGGAAACGGUAGCUAAUACCGCAUACCAUCGGAUGUGCCCAGAUGGGAUUGGCUUGUAGGUGGGGUAAAGGCUCACCUAGGCGACGAUCCCUAGCUGGUCUGAGAGGAUGACCAGCCACAUGUGAACUGAGACACGGUCCAGACGCCUACGGGAGGGAGCAGUGGGGUAUAUUGCACAAUGGGCGCAAGCCUGAUGCAGCCAUGCAGCGUGUAUGACGAAAGCCGUCGGGUUGUAAAGUACGUUCAGCGGGGAGGCGUUACCCGCAGAAGAAGCACCGGCUAACUCCGUGCCAGCAGCCGCGGUAAUUC